AGUGCAAAGGAAAGAAGAGAAAUCAAAGAGAGAAAAUCGGCUAUGGAGGGAGUAAUUUUACUCCUUGAAAUUUCAUCCCAAAAAUUAUUUUCUUCUAGUAUUCCUACUAAUUCAAGGAUCCUCUACAACAUGAUGAAGUUAUUUUGGAAGAUAGGAGCCUUGUUUGGUUAAUUGGGUGUCUUGGUGAAGUGAAGAAGUUGGAAGGAAAAGAUUUUGGAGGAAACGGAAAUUGAACUUGGACAACCGUAAAAGGCCAAAAAGGUACCGAAGUUCAAUUUGCUGAUCCAUCUGUUUAGGAUAUUUGCUGCGUCGUUGACAGUGCUCCCUUGUUCGGAGCUUGUAUUUUGGUACUGACUUUAUCUCUGUAUAUUUGGAUAUUUUAGUCAGGGGUACGACGGGGCCCUGUCCCGUCAUAUGACUAUGCUAUCAUCUAUAGAGGUCUGUAGACAGAUUUAUGUUGUGGGUUUUGUAUAUAUAAUUUGGGUUUUGUGUGUUUUGUGAUGGCUUAUCAGCCCUCGUGCCUACAUCUAUUUUUUUGAUCUAUUUAAAAAUUCUUAUAAUCACUACCUAUAUUUAUUUGGUUAA